CCAAAGGCUCUUUUCAGAGCCGUCCACGAUUUCACAUAAAAAAAG
rfam:Ailuropoda melanoleuca scaffold2498_20, whole genome shotgun sequence.